UCGAAUGUAUAGAACAACAUCCUUAGAACCCAUGCGGAUAUAGUUUUCAUAUAAUUUAUCUCCUUGACCAAAAUGAUCAUAGGACACCCCAGAGUUCAACUGUCAACUCUGAUCAGGUUGUCCACAUUGUAUUUCAAAAUAUCAAAUCCAUCUGAUGGAUUACCCUGACCAAGGUUUUGCUAAAUUGAAAUACAGCGACUCAUUCUUCUCCAACUCUUG
rnacentral:lncRNA from 1 species